rnacentral:rRNA from 1 species
GACGAACGCUGGCGGCGUGCCUAAUACAUGCAAGUAGAACGCUGAAGGGAGAGCUUGCUCUUCUGGAUGAGUUGCGAACGGGUGAGUAACGCGUAGGUAACCUGCCUGGUAGCGGGGGAUAACUAUUGGAAACGAUAGCUAAUACCGCAUAACAUUGACUAUUGCAUGAUAGUCAAUUAAAAGGUGCAAUUGCACCACUACCAGAUGGACCUGCGUUGUAUUAGCUAGUUGGUGGGGUAACGGCUCACCAAGGCGACGAUACAUAGCCGACCUGAGAGGGUGAUCGGCCACACUGGGACUGAGACACGGCCCAGACUCCUACGGGAGGCAGCAGUAGGGAAUCUUCGGCAAUGGACGGAAGUCUGACCGAGCAACGCCGCGUGAGUGAAGAAGGUUUUCGGAUCGUAAAGCUCUGUCGUAAGAGAAGAACGAGUGUGAGAGUGGAAAGUUCACACUGUGACGGUAUCUUACCAGAAAGGACGGC